UACGGGGGGGGCAAGCGUUGUUCGGAAUUACUGGGCGUAAAGGGCUCGUAGGUGGCCAACUAAGUCAGACGUGAAAUCCCCAGGCUUAACCUGGGAACUGCGUCUGAUACUGGAUGGCUUGAAUUCGGGAGAGGGAUGCAGAAUUCCAGGUGUAGCGGUGAAAUGCGUAGAUAUCUGGAGGAAUACCGGUGGCGAAGGCGGCAUCCUGGACCGAGAUUGACGCUGAGGCGCGAAAGCCAGGGGAGCAAACGGG
rnacentral:rRNA from 1 species